rnacentral:lncRNA from 1 species
CAGUUUUCUAUUAAACAUUUGAGCUUUGAUCAGGAACCUUGACUUAACUCCAUGUUUCUCUUGACCACGUGAGCCAUGGGCCGGCUCUCAACAGUCUGGCACCCAGGCCAGGGACCUGAGGAAUGGCAGAAAAACACUGCUUGGUGUGGAGCUCCACAGGAAGAAAAAGAAAAGGAUCAUAUCGGACACUGAAGCAACAGGUUCCCACAGAGCCCAGAAGAUGGUGUCAGGUCCCUGGAGCUGGAGAUACAAGUAAUUGUGAGCUACCUGCCAUGGAUGUUGAGAACUGAACUCAGGUC